rnacentral:misc_RNA from 1 species
UCCGGCUUAUCACCGGCGGUUUCUUUGGAGUGCCCAACUAAAUGAUGGCAACUAAAGACGAGGGUUGCGCUCGUUGCGGGACUUAACCCAACAUCUCACGACACGAGCUGACGACAGCCAUGCAGCACCUGUCAUCCGGUCGUAUUGCUACGAAAGACGUAUCUCUACGUUUGUCCGGAGAUGUCAAACCCAGGUAAGGUUUUUCGCGUUGCUUCGAAUUAAACCACAUGAUCCACCGCUUGUGCGGGCCCCCGUCGAUUCCUUUGAGUUUUAGUCUUGCGACCGUACUUCCCAGGCGGGGUACUUAUCGCGUUAGCUCCGGCUCAGCAGGGGUCAAGACCCACCAAGCCUAGUACCCAUCAUUUACGGCGUGGACUAC